GACGAACGCUGGCGGCGUGCUUAACACAUGCAAGUCGAACGGAAAGGCCCUGCUUUUGUGGGGUGCUCGAGUGGCGAACGGGUGAGUAACACGUGAGUAACCUGUCCUUGACUUUGGGAUAACUUCAGGAAACUGGGGCUAAUACCGGAUAGGAGCUCCUGCUGCAUGGUGGGGGUGGGAAAGUUUCGGCGGUUGGGGAUGGACUCGCGGCUCAUCAGCUUGUUGGUGGGGUAGUGGCUUACCAAGGCUUUGACGGGUAGCCGGCCUGAGAGGGUGACCGGCCACAUUGGGACUGAGAUACGGCCCAGACUCCUACGGGAGGCAGCAGUGGGGAAUAUUGCACAAUGGGCGGAAGCCUGAUGCAGCAACGCCGCGUGCGGGAUGACGGCCUUCGGGUUGUAAACCGCUUUCGCCUGUGACGAAGCGUGAGUGACGGUAAUGGGUAAAGAAGCACCGGCUAACUACGUG
rnacentral:rRNA from 1 species